rnacentral:rRNA from 1 species
GACGAACGCUGGCGGCGUGCCUAAUACAUGCAAGUAGAACGCUGAAGGAGGAGCUUGCUUCUCUGGAUGAGUUGCGAACGGGUGAGUAACGCGUAGGUAACCUGCCUGGUAGCGGGGGAUAACUAUUGGAAACGAUAGCUAAUACCGCAUAAGAGUAGAUGUUGCAUGGCGUUUGCUUAAAAGUUGCAGUUGCAUCACUACCAGAUGGACCUUCGUUGUUUUAGCUAGUUGGUGGGGUAACGGCUCACCAAGGCGAGGAUACAUAGCCGACCUGAGAGGGUGGUAGGCCGCACUGGGAGGGAGACACGGACCAGAGGACUACGGGAGGCAGCAGUAGGCAAUCUUCGGCAAUGGACGGGAGUCUGACCGAGCGACGCCGAGUGAGUGAAGAAGGGUCUCGGAUCGGAAAGAUCGGUUGUAAGAUAAGAACGGGUGUGAGAGUGGAAAGUUCACAGUGUGACGGUAUCUGAUCAGAAAGAGACGGCUAACUACGUG